GGUAGAGGAGACAGGGGAUAGGAAGGUAGAGGAGACAGAAGAUAGGUAGGUAGAGGAGACAGGGGACAGGAAGGUAGAGGAGACAGAAGAUAGGUAGGUAGAGGAGACAGGGGACAGGAAGGUAGAGGAGACAGAAGAUAGGUAGGUAGAGGAGACAGGGGACAGGAAGGUAGAGGAGACAGAAGAUAGGUAGGUAGAGGAGACAGGGGACAGGUAGGUAGAGGAGACAGGGGUCAGGAAGGUAGAGGAGA